rnacentral:rRNA from 1 species
UACGUAGGCAGCGAGCGUUGUUCGGAGUUACUGGGCGUAAAGAGUGCGUAGGCGGUUUUCUAAGUUUGGUGUGAAAUCUCCCGGCUUAACUGGGAGGGUGCGCCGAAGACUGGAAGGCUUGAGUAUGGGAGAGGUAAGCGGAAUUCCUGGUGUAGCGGUGAAAUGCGUAGAUAUCGGGAAGAACACCCGUGGCGAAGGCGGCUCUCUGGGACGGUACUGACGCUGAGACGCGAAAGCGUGGGGAGCGAACAGG